rnacentral:rRNA from 1 species
GACGAACGCUGGCGGCGUGCUUAACACAUGCAAGUCGAACGGAAAGGCCCUGCUUUUGUGGGUUGCUCGAGUGGCGAACGGGUGAGUAACACGUGUGUAACCUGCCCUUGUCUUUGGGAUAACUUCUGGAAACUCGGGCUAUUACCGGGUAGGAGCUCCUGCUGCACGGGGGGGGUUGGAGAGUUUCGGCGGUUGGGGAUGGACUCGCGGGUUAUCAGCUUGUUGGUGUGGUAGUGGCUUACCAAGGCUUUGACGGGUAGCCGGCCUGAGAGCGUGGACGGCCACAUUGGUACUGAGAUAGGGCCCAGACUGCUACGGGAGGCAGCAGUGGGGAAUAUUACACAAUGGGCGGGCGUCUGAUGCAGCAACGCCGCGUGCGGGAUGACGGCCUACGGGUUAUAAACCGCUUUCGCCUGUGACGAAGCGUGAGUGACGGUAAUGGGUAAAGAAGCACCGGCUAACUACGUG